CAUUUGUUGUCGUGUUUGAAGAUGUAGUUGAGAAGUCAAGUUACAAGAUCCGACAAUGUCAGAGAUAUCACAUUCCCUUGGUUCAGAGCCUGUACAUUGAUGACUGCAUGUCACAGAAUAAACUUCUUACAAAAAUAAAAUACAUAGUCAGCGGACUACCAGAGAAUGAUAACUUCAAGAAAGGAAAGAUAGUUGGUAAAAAUCCACAAGGUUUGAUCAAAAGAAAAAAGAAAAAGGUACAAGUUAACCUAAAUAACAUGAAAUGUUGGACAUAUACAGAUCCAGGGGCUCCCUAUGAUCCAGAUAUUCCUUAUGUCCUAGCUAAAUGGUGUUUACUAAAG